AGGAACACAACUACUGCUUGUACAGAACAGAAGGUGCUGAACGGAGCAAACGGCGGCAGGUGGCAGGGAGAUGAACCCCUCAUCGACGCUGGCUACAUUCUCUUCCACGCCGAUCUUCAAGUCUUCUCAUGCACACCAAGAGUUUUGAUCGGAAAUACUGAAGGGGAAAUCGGGAGCAUCUGGUGUUUCCUGUCUUUGGCGGUCCAUUUCCGGUCCCAUCUCUGGUGUUAGACCGGACCACGGACCGGAUCACACCCAGCAACGUGGCGCUGAUCCUCCUUGAAUCCCUGGAAUCCGGCCUGUGGAGCAGCUCGGUGCUGUUGGGGCGUCGCGGCGUCCCAUUCGGGGGACGGUCGCAGGCAAUCGUAAACAACCGCAAAUUCCCAGCCUUCAGUUUGCAGAGAAACUGGUUGGAGUUUGUGGCUGUUUGAACAGUGAAGUCUGUCUCUGUAAGUUUGCUCCAGACAGAAGUGAUGACCUUUGACCUGCUGCGCACAAGAAGGUCGGGACCUUUGGGAGCUUCAGACUCGGCAGCUUCCAGCUGGAGCUGAUCAACGCCGGCGUGUUGCAGGAAAUGAAGAUUAAAGCCACUAAAUCACAGCCACUCCAGCGCCGGCACAAAACAAACAGCGAGGGCUGCUUUCAAGUGUCCGAGCCGGCGAGCGGCGUGAAGCGCCUCCCCUCAAAUGUUGCGGUGAGAGAGGAAGAAGGUGAUGAA